ensembl:lncRNA
GGACAUGGCACCUGGUAGGACUUUAGGACAUGUUGGUGCCCAGACCUGUGUGUUGACAGCAAGGCCCCUAGCACGGAGGCCGCCCGUGUGACUCACAUCAGAGCUUUAAACAUUCAGUUUGACAGGGUGUCGGGGCGACUGCCCUUCCUUGCACUCAGGAAGAAAGAGUCGGGCAGGUCUGCUCCUGUAGGGCACUGGCAGUGCUAUUUUAGUCGUCCUGCUCUGAAGGGCCUCUCCGCGCCCUGUGUGCUCACAGUCUGGGUAUUAACAGGCAGGCCCUAUCCUCCUCUGAGCGCCAGGACACAGCAGGCGGCUGUUUAAAUGCAAGAUCAGUCGGCUGUGGCAGGAUGCAGUGAUUUGAGAGAAAAUGUCACCACUCUACCAGCCAAGUUGGAAACCGGGACAUCACAGUGACCUCCCUGGCUUGCACACAGCCAGGUGACAGGCAGUGGGGAGCCGCGGGGCCCUCCCCCUGGGAUGCCUGCUGACACCAGGCUGGGCAGGGCCCUUCGGAAGGCGAGUGGGAGGACCCAGGAGCUCCUGCUCCCAAGCCCAGGAGUACUUUAGGGAGCACUUUUGGGGGUCACUUGUGCACCCUCCGGAAGGAGGCAAUGAGACUGGGGAGCAGCAGGAAGAAGCUGUGGCCAAGGUCCCCGCAGAGCUAGCUGCUCCGAGCCUCGCCCAGGGCACAGCUGAAACGCAGCCCCAGGCUCCAUGCCAGUUCUCCAGGCACUGGCCCGACUCAAGGCGUCCUCCUCUUGAACAGCUGCUCAGGUUAAUUUCCCAUGGACAGCGGGAUUCCAGCGUCCUCCUUCCCUCAGUCCUUGUGGCGCCAUCCCCUGCCUGGCCCUGGACCCCUGUCCUCUGACGGGUUCCUCUUCCCCUCAUGCCUUUACUUACUUGACAGAUGUUCACACCACCACACGCUGAGCUCAGCAUCUCCUGGUCACAGGUCCCUGGAGCCCGUGGGCCAGCACCAGGGGCCUGCCUGCAUGUAGGACCUUCUCUGCACAGUCGCCAUCGCCAGGCACGGGCAUCCUGGCCUCCUACACAGACCGACAGGUGGGCGCUGGAGGCGACGUGCCUGGACCGGGACUCCUGGGCCUCACCUGCCCAGCAUGCCUGCGGCACCAUCUCCGCUCACCACCUGGCUGGGUGCGGCUCUCCCAGGGGCCACCACACUCCAGGGAUGCCGGUCUCCCUCCCCGGCUGGCAUUUCAAUCAGGGUCUGGAAAGGGGAGGCCUCCACCCCUCCUGUCCCAGGGGAGACUUGGGCUGGUCAGGUGAGGGUGGGAUUCUGACCAAGGCGACCUCUCCUUCCCAGAGGGAGAGAGGCUGUCCUGGGUGGGGAACCGCCAUGUGGUCUAGACCCUUCUGGAUCUCUCAGACCAGGGGAGAUGGGGCAUUUCUGAUUUUGCUGCUUGAAAGGCAGCCUGAACUGGAGCCUCUCCUCUGACACGCCCUUCUGUCCGGAUAAGCCGAGGAGGUGCCGCCACCCCGGUGUCAGUGCGCGCUGAGGCCGAGGGCUCUCCUCCCGGCCACUCAUCCCUGGCCCCUGGCAGCACCUUCCGGAUUCCAUUGCCCCAGGGAUGAUCUUUUGUCCUUAUCCUCCCGGGGCUCCUCCUGGUGGUUCACACAACGGUGGGUGUGAUGUCACCUGGGCCGACCUGCCCCCCACGCAGCGCAGAGGCUGCCGUGUGCCUCAAACCCGGCUCCCACCAGGAGCUUCGAGUCAGAUGGGACCCUGGGCCGUCGCCAUGCUCCAAACUGGUAGCCAUACAGAGGACACCCUGCACGCAGGUGAGACCCUCAGUCAGACCCCCAGGGCAGGUGGGGCCCACAGUUAGGCCCCCAGGGCAGGUGAGACCCUCAGUCAGACCCCCAGGGUAGGUGGGACCCACAGUCAGGCCCCCAGGGCAGGUGGGCACCUGGGUCGAGGUCAUGGCUUUCUCGCCUGGACGGGGACUAAGGAGGCUCCUCUGCCCGUCCCCCGUCUAGGCCUCGCUGAGGCUCCCAGGCCGUCACCUUCUUUCUCCGGCUGCCCCCACCUCUCCAGGCCCCCCAGGCCCCUCCCCAGCCAACUCCCACUUGGGCCCUUGUCUCAGGCCCGAGACCGGGGCCAGCCUUGGCAAGGCAAGACCUCUUUUGAGAACAGGUGCUGGCCUAGAGCUGAAUGGGGCAGCCUUGGUGUCCAG